rnacentral:rRNA from 1 species
UACAGAGGGUGCGAGCGUUAAUCGGAAUUACGGGGCGUAAAGCGCGCGUAGGUGGCUAUGCAAGUCGGAUGUGAAAUCCCCGGGCUCAACCUGGGAACUGCAUUCGAGACUGCAUUGCUAGAGUAUGGGAGAGGGAAGUGGAAUUUCCGGUGUAGCGGUGAAAUGCGUAGAUAUCGGAAGGAACAUCAGUGGCGAAAGCGACUUCCUGGACCAAUACUGACGCUCAUGUGCGAAAGCGUGGGGAGCAAACAGG